rnacentral:rRNA from 1 species
AGUUACUGCUAUCGAGGUUCGACUAAGCCAUGCGAGUCGAAUGUAGCAAUACAUGGCGAACUGCUCAGUAACACGUGGACAACCUGCCCUUAGGUUGGGUAUAAACCCGGGAAACUGGGUAUAAUACCCGAUAGGUCUCGAUUGCUGGAAUGCAUCGAGAUUUAAAGCUCCGGCGCCUAAGGAUGGGUCUGCGGCCUAUCAGGUAGUAGCGGGUGUAGCGUACCUACUAGCCUACGACGGGUACGGGUUGUGAGAGCAAGAGCCCGGAGAUGGAUUCUGAGACACGAAUCCAGGCCCUACGGGGUGCAGCAGGCGCGAAAACUUUACAAUGCUGGCAACAGCGAUAAGGGAACCUCGAGUGCCAGGUUACAAAUCUGGCUGUCGAGAUGCCUAAAAAGCAUUUCAUAGCAAGGGCCGGGCAAGACCGGUGCCAGCCGCCGCGGUAACACUGGCGGCUCGAGUGGUAACCGUUAUUAUUGGGUCUAAAGGGUCUGUAGCCGGCCGGAUAAGUCUCUUGAGAAAUCUGGCAGCUUAACUGUCAGGCUUUCAGGAGAUACUGUCUGGCUCGAGGCCGGGAGAGGUGAGAGGUACUUCAGGGGUAGGGGUGAAAUCUUGUAAUCCUUGAAGGACCACCAGUGGCGAAGGCGUCUCACCAGAACGGACCUGACGGCAAGGGACGAAAGCUAGGGGCACGAACCGGAUUAGAUACCCGGGUAGUCCUAGCCGUAAACGAUACUCGCUAGGUGUCGGCCACGGUGCGACCGUUGUCGGUGCCGUAGGGAAGCCGUGAAGCGAGCCACCU